rnacentral:rRNA from 1 species
CGAUGAGGUGGAAGCGGUUAGAGCUGACGUAGCUGGGCUGUAAUCAGCCGUUGAUGGUAUGUGGUUGCUUGCUGACGAAAGCGACGGUGGGGCAACCUGUUGUCGUCUACGUUUGUCAAUUAACUGUGUGCUUCAGCGGUGCAUUUACGGACCAAAAUGCGCUGAGGCGUGUGCGUUGAUCGUUUGACGAUUGGUUAGUGGAAACUCGUUUCGGCGAUUGAACCCUGGCCUCUCUGAGAGCGCAUUCGGCGUGCGCGUAAUCGGACAUAGCGUGUCUGGACUGUUAUCGGUAGUUGCGAUUGUGGAUUAUGGCGGUCGCUUGCGACACGUGUUCUCCGUGGCUGUGGCUCUGAUACGCUCCUUUUUGUCCAACCUCGGUGUAAAAGUCGGUCAUCUAUCCGACCCGUCUUGAAACACGGACCAAGGAGUUUAGCGUAUGCGCGAGUCAUUAGGUUUUAAACCUAAAGGCGUAAUGAAAGUGAAUAUGAACUCGAUUUAUUGACAUGCGAUCCGGCGUACUUUGGUACGUCGGCGCAGCAUGGCCCCGUUCCUGUCGCAUGCGAUGGGGCGGAGGUAGAGCGUAUGCGCUGAUACCCGAAAGAUGGUGAACUAUGCCUGAGCAGGACGAAGCCAGAGGAAACUCUGGUGGAAGUCCGAAGCGGUUCUGACGUGCAAAUCGAUCGUCUGACUUGGGUAUAGGGGCGAAAGACUAAUCGAACCAUCUAGUAGCUGG